UCUAUCCAGGCAAACACAGUUGUGUCUGAGCUAACAGACUGGACGCCGGGCUGCCUUAGGAGCCCGGAAGCGACUCGUGUGCACCCCGCCCCGCUGCUGCACUAACCACAGACGCGGCGACCCCCAGGCCCCGCUCCUCUCCCCUCGCCCUCGCCGGGGACCCGCGGCCCCGCCCAAAGGGCGCCCCAGGCUGAGGCCGCGGCGCGCACCCGCUGGCCGCAGAGCGCGGCUCCCGGGCCUUCGGCGCGGCGGGGCUGGCUGAGCGCGGGGGCCGGGCCUGCGCCCGCGGCUGGGCGUGACCCUCGCGCCCCCGGCUCCGAGCUGGCUCAGCGGAGAGGCUGCGGGGCGGCGGGAGCCGGGCGGGGCGGGUGCGGAAGGCGGGCAGGCGGCCAUGGCGGCGGCCCUGGGGGCGCGCGGGGCGCGGGUGCGCUUGCUGGCGGCGCUGCGGGGCGGGAGCCGGAGCCUGGCGGCCCAGCCUUCAGAUUCACAGCUGUUGACUCCAGAGGAGAGGAACCAGAUUCUACUUGACCUUAAAAAUGCAGGAUGGUCAGAAUUAAGUGAGAGAAAUGCCAUCUACAAAGAAUUUUCCUUCAAAAAUUUUAAUCAGCCUCCUGAGUGCUGGGAUUACAGAUGUGUUUUGCCAUGCCCAGUUGGUUUGGACACUUCAGCCAUGCUAGGGCCUGAACUGAGGACCUCAUGCAUACCAGGCCUUUGGCUUUAUGUCCCGAGUUGCCCUGCAAGCAGAGAAGAUAAAUCAUCACCCCGAAUGGUUCAAUGUGUACAACAAGUUUUCUACUGAAGCUAUCUAUAUAAGAAACUUGGGCCAAAGGAGGUUCCUAAAUUAAACUUGGCUGUCAGCCAUGCAGGUCCAGAUAACACUCACAUCCCAUGACUGUGGGGGACUGACCAAAAGAGAUGUGCAGCUGGCCAAGUUUAUUGAAAAAGCAUCUAUUUUUGUGUGAUUUCUCCCAAAAUGCAUGUAAAACUUAUACCCAUCUUAGCUACAAUAUAUUUUGUUUCUUUC